AGUGAGUGAGGCAUAAUUCUUAUAGGAAAAUGAAAUUAAUACAGCUGACUUUGGUUUUCAUGGGGUCGACUCCGAGUCUCGCGAAAAUAUAAAAAAAGUGAUUAUUUGUGCUAAGAUUGAUUGGUCGAAGUGAGCUUUUAAGGGCGUCCCCCAGCUAUUUGGCAACAUGCAGUUUUCCAAUAUUCAGAAAAAUGCUGAUCGUUACCAAAUGCGAAUCGGUGGAAUGAGGCCCAGCAGUCCCGUUAGUGUUUGCAUACAAAAAUCAGCAAAAAAUUUGUUAAAAGCGCAACGGGUUGGUGAUCAACAAAAGGAACACAAUCUCAUCAGCCGAGGAAUCAAGCGAAGACGAUAAUCGCUUAUUUGAUGCCAACUUUGAAAACGUUCCAUGCUGUGCCCGAGUAUCAACAAUAACUGUAGUCAACUCGCAGUUUAUGGAAUUUAUAAACAGCAACAACAAACGGUACGGAACCGCAGUUCAAACGAAUCAAGGUGCACUUUCUUACCCACCCCAUGUCUCUUCCGAUCAUCAGCAGUCAGCAGCAUCUGCAUAAUGGUAUGCAACAUCACAUUGAGGAAGUCGUAUGAAGUGGCGAGCAGAGAUGACUAAGCUGCUCCGUUUAAGGUCUUGUUGCUGGUGGACACCCAAUGGUACAAAAUCAAAUGCAAGGCUUCCAGAAAACUGAAACUGAGGGGCCGAACCUGGUAAAAGGAAUCUCCCAAUACAACUACAUACUGAUGGAGCAACAAACUUGGUGCAAUUUGCGAUGACUGGAAUUCUCGACGCCGCCCCCGGGGCUGUGCUGUGCAUGAACUUCUGCAUUUCAAAAAAUAAUAUUAUUUAAAGGCAUUGCUUAAUGCAGAAAAAGUAAGCGAAGUAUAUCGCUGUGACUAUGUGUUUUUUAAUAUUGUGAACAUAAAAUAUAUGAUAGUUUAAAUUUAA